rnacentral:rRNA from 1 species
CCUACGGGAGGCAGCAGUAAGGAAUAUUGGUCAAUGGACGCAAGUCUGAACCAGCCAUGCCGCGUGAAGGAUUAAGGCCCUCUGGGUUGUAAACUUCUUUUAUAGGGGACGAAAAAAGGGCAUUCUUGCUCACUUGACGGUACCCUAGGAAUAAGCACCGGCUAACUCCGUGCCAGCAGCCGCGGUAAUACGGAGGGUGCAAGCGUUAUCCGGAUUUACUGGGUUUAAAGGGUGCGUAGGUGGGUUGGUAAGUCAGUGGUGAAAUCUUCGAGCUUAACUCGGAAACUGCCAUUGAUACUAUCAAUCUUGAAUCAUCUAGAGGUAAGCGGAAUAUGUCAUGUAGCGGUGAAAUGCUUAGAUAUGACAUAGAACACCAAUUGCGAAGGCAGCUUACUAUGGAUGUAUUGACACUGAGGCACGAAAGCGUGGGGAUCAAACAGGAUUAGAUACCCUGGUAGUCCACGCCCUAAACGAUGGAUACUCGACAUUUGUGAUAUACUAUAAGUGUCUGAGCGAAAGCAUUAAGUAUCCCACCUGGAAGUACGACCGCAAGGUUGAAACUCAAAGGAAUUGACGG